rnacentral:tRNA from 1 species
GCCUGGGUGGCUCAGUGGGUUAAGUGUCCGACUUUGGCUCAGGUCACGAUCUCGCAGUUCAUGGGUUCAAGCCCCAUGUCAGGCU